ACAGGUUUUUAUUUAACCCACCAUCGCUGGCUCUUCAAUCUUCUUCUUAUUUCAACCCCGUCUUCUUUGCCAGCACCGCCGUUCCUCCGAGCAGAAACCAGUGGUCGUCUUCUAGCUGACGUCUAUUUCUUUGAAUUAGCAUCGCUUGUUCGUCUACUGUUCCUCAUCGUUAGUUGUCGUUCCUCCUCGCUUCUGGUACUCUUCCCUUUGUUAUUUUUCUUUGGAAACGACGGUGGUGAUGGUGGUAAGUUGUAGGAGAAGGAAGGCUGGUUCAAUUUGUUUGAGUUAUGUUUUUAAUUUUGUUGAUUUUGUUGCUUGUGGUUUGUUGCUCUUAAUUUUGAGUUGUUGCUUUUGAUUUUUGUUGUUGCUGAGAUUCAUGGUGACGGAGGUGGCAUGGUUGUUGCUGGAAUUGACGAUGCAGCUGGUGCUGAAACGACGAACGAGUUGCUUGUUGCUAUAAUUGAAGAACAGAGAUAUUGACGAGAUAAAGAAGGUGAUUGGUGUGAUGAUGACAGUGAACCAAUGGAGAAGAAGUUAAUUAGAUUAGGGUUAAUCAGAUUUUAUUAAGUUUCUUUAAAUUCAAUUAAGAUAAAUUAGGGUUAAUUAAAAUUUUAAUUAAGCUUAUAAUUAGGGUUAAUUAGGCUUAAUCAGUGUUUGUUUAGGAUUAAAAUGUGUAAUUAGAGAUUCCCACUAUCUUCUUUGUGUGUUUUUGUGUCAGACGGGUGAUUUUGAUAUUUCGUGCCAAGUUGAGGGGGUUAGUUGAUCCUUUAUUCGAUUUAAAAUGGGAUUAUUUUAAAAUACAUGCUUUUGAAAUUUAGUUACAACAAUUUUGUCCUACUUUUGCAAUCUUCACUCGGUGCCCUGUUUUUUAAAACUAAUUUCAAAAAUGACCUAACUAACGGGAUGGCAGUUAAUGACGUUAGCCAUAAUUCAUCAAAAUAGAAAAAAUGAAAAUGGAAGAACAAAUUGCAAUUUUGAAAGCUAUCAAAUUCAAUCCCUAAUCCAAAUCAGAUUCAAUCCUAAAUUCAAAUUAAGAUUCAAGCCCAUGUUGUCGCUGAUUCCGUCGUAGUCGACGGUUCUGCUGUCAUCUUCCAAUGCUGAUGUCGAUGGCGUCCCUGUUUUCAGCGCUUCUGUUGUAGUUGUCCUUGUAGCCGUCAGUUCUGUUGUCAUCUGCCGUUUCUGCUAUCGAUCACUGUCGACGACCAAAAUCAGUGAAAUUAAUGAUGACCAUUUCAUUAGCAAUUGCAGAAAUUUGCCAGUAUUAAUUGGAAAAUAUGAGGUUAUCAACAAAUCUAUCUGAAGAAGAUACAUUAGCAGCUGCAUAAGUUCGUUCUAAAGUUGUGCAAGCUACUCAAAUUUGAUUGAAACUAGUUUGGAAAUCAAUUUUGUUUUGUAAGUUUCGAAACGUUGAGCUGGUUAGAGUAGUUUGUGUGAAUAAUUUUAAUUUAAUUUCGAUAUACUUUCGGUUUAAUUUUGUGGUGGUCGGUUUCAUCACGUAAUGAAAGAAGCAUAGUGUAGAGGAGUAAGUCUUUCUUUUGAUAUGGUAGAGGCUGCUAAGAGUGUAUGGAUUUGUGAGCUUAUCCUUCUUAGAUAUUUGGCGGUGAUUGCGGUGGUUGUGGUGGUUGCUGUUCCGAUGGAGGCCGAAGAAAAGAGUAGGCGGUUUUUCUAAAUCAGUGUUAAGAAGAAUUUGCGUCUUCUACAUGCUCUACCUGUUUAUUUAUGCUUUUUGCUUGUCCUUUUUCAACUAUUGCUACUCAACAGAUUCUAUUCCAGUUCAUGGAUAAGUAGAAUGAUCAACCUAUGCUAGUUUAUACCAAAAUUUCUUCAUUAGUGUACUUUUGAACAUUUAGAAUAUUGUUAUCAAAUUGUUAAGGAGCUAAAUAGAGUUCGAUUGAACAAGUUUUCUUUGCAUAAUCCUAUAGAAGUGCUUCUGUUUCAACUCUCAAGAGGGAGCUCAAUCCUGAAGCAUUAGCUGCUAUUAUUGAAGAACUCCGAAAAGAAGCGGAAGCCUCCUCCUCUCCGUCGUCAAUCUCUACUCACAACUCUUCAAUAAGCGCAGAUCUGGUGUUGGAAACUUGACAGGGCUGGAUGCUUCCUAGAAUUUUAGGUCUGCUACUAUAGGAGUUGACGGAACAGUUGUUGAUUUGAAUUUAAAUAUAAUGGUAGAUUCAACUAAUGCGAAAAAUGGGGGUUUUAAUCAGCGCCUACUUUUUCAUGAGCAACAUAUAUAUGGAAAGGAGAUAUUAUACUCGUGAUUCAACUAAAAAGAUAGUUUGUAAUAGCAAUUUUGAUUUGUAUAGCACACUGGCAGCUAAUUAGGUAAGCACUGUUUGGUUGUUGUUUUCUUUUAAUGUUCUCUUAAUGUUAUGCACAUCUGAUAUCCCUCGUAGACCUUACUUAUGUUAGAAAGCGUACACUGUAGUAACAAAUUGAUUUGCUUUUAAUGUUUUAGGGCAUUCAGUCAUUUAAUUUCUUGUCUUACCUAUUGGUAUACUAUUUACGUUGACAGUCAUUUAGAAUGCAUCAAAGGAUAUGUUUUCUUUAUUAGUUUAUAUACUAGAUGAUCAAACCAACAUUUGUUUUUGUCUUAGUUUAGGCAACCACAAGGCCAAAUGAUACUCCACAUUAGUAACGCCAGAACUUCAAAGAGGAAUUUGAAUAGCAGAGCACGAGAUGAGUUCAGAUGCUGAUUCUGCUGCUUCUUAGGUUUAUUCUAAUGUUACUACUUGGUUGUAAUGGAUUCAAUAUCAACUUGAAUAUAUGUUUUUCUUUUAUUAUAACCAUUUUUAUUUUCUUGAA